GACGAACGCUGGCGGCGUGCUUAACACAUGCAAGUCGAACGGAAAGGCCCUGCUUUUGUGGGGCGCUCGAGUGGCGAACGGGUGAGUAACACGUGAGUAACCUGCCCUUGUCUUUGGGAUAACUUCAGGAAACUGGGGCUAAUACCGGAUAGGAGCUCCUGCUGCAUGGUGGGGGUAGGAAAGUUUCGGCGGUUGGGGAUGGACUCGCGGCUUAUCAGCUUGUUGGGGGGGUAGUGGCGUACCAAGGCUUUGGCGGGUAGCCGGCCUGAGAGGGUGACCGGCCACAUUGGGACUGAGAUGCGGCCCAGACUCCUACGGGAGGGAGCAGUGGGGGAUGUUGCACGAUGGGCGGAAGCCUGAUGCAGCAGCGCCGCGUGCGAGAUGACGGCCUUCGGGUUGUAAACCGCUUUCGCCUGUGACGGAGCGUGAGUGACGGUAAUGGGUAAAGAAGCACCGGCUAACUACGUG
rnacentral:rRNA from 1 species